rnacentral:rRNA from 1 species
AUUGAACGCUGGCGGCAUGCUUUACACAUGCAAGUCGAACGGUAACAGGCCUUCGGGUGCUGACGAGUGGCGAACGGGUGAGUAAUGCAUCGGAACGUGCCCAGAGGUGGGGGAUAACGCAGCGAAAGCUGUGCUAAUACCGCAUGUGAUCUGAGGAUGAGAGCGGGGGACCAGGCAGCAAUGUUUGGCCUCGCGCCUUUGGAGCGGCCGAUGUCCGAUUAGGUAGUUGGUGGGGUAAAGGCCUACCAAGCCGACGAUCUGUAGCUGGUCUGAGAGGACGACCAGCCACACUGGGACUGAGACACGGCCCAGACUCCUACGGGAGGCAGCAGUGGGGAAUUUUGGACAAUGGGCGCAAGCCUGAUCCAGCAAUGCCGCGUGCGGGAAGAAGGCCUUCGGGUUGUAAACCGCUUUUGUACGGAACGAAAAGGCUCUGGCUAAUACCUGGGGCUGAUGACGGUACCGUAAGAAUAAGCACCGGCUAACUACGUG